rnacentral:rRNA from 1 species
AGAGUUUGAUCCUGGCUCAGGAUGAACGCUGGCGGUCUGCUUAACACAUGCAAAGUCGAACGGAACUUUUCGGAGUUCAGUGGCGGACGGGUGAGUAACGCGUGAGAAUCUGCCUUCUGGUCGGGGACAACCACUGGAAACGGUGGCUAAUACCGGAUGAGCCUACGGGUAAAAGAUUUAUUGCCAGAAGAGGAGCUCGCGUCUGAUUAGCUAGUUGGUGAGGUAAAGGCUCACCAAGGCAUCGAUCAGUAGCUGGUCUGAGAGGAUGACCAGCCACACUGGGACUGAGACACGGCCCAGACUCCUACGGGAGGCAGCAGUGGGGAAUUUUCCGCAAUGGGCGAAAGCCUGACGGAGCAAGACCGCGUGAGGGAGGAAGGCUCUUGGGUUGUAAACCUCUUUUCUUGGGGAAGAAAAAAAUGACGGUACCCAAGGAAUCAGCAUCGGCUAACUCCGUGCCAGCAGCCGCGGUAAUACGGAGGAUGCAAGCGUUAUCCGGAAUUAUUGGGCGUAAAGCGUCCGCAGGUGGCACUUCAAGUCUGCUGUCAAAGGUCGGGGCUUAACCCCGGGAAGGCAGUGGAAACUGAAGCGCUAGAGUGUCGUAGGGGUAGAGGGAAUUCCCGGUGUAGCGGUGAAAUGCGUAGAGAUCGGGAAGAACAUCGGUGGCGAAAGCGCUCUACUGGACGACAACUGACACUCAGGGACGAAAGCUAGGGGAGCGAAUGGGAUUAGAUACCCUAGUAGUCC